rnacentral:rRNA from 1 species
GAUAAACGCUGGCGGCGUGCAUGAGACAUGCAAGUCGAACGAACGAGCUUGCUCGUUAGUGGCGGACGGCUGAGUAACGCGUAGGUGACCUGCCCCGAAGUGGGGGAUAACGGCCCGAAAGGGUUGCUAAUACCGCAUGUGGCGACACGUUCAAUCGUGUCAUCAAAGCCGCGAGGCGCUUCGGGAGGGGCCUGCGUCCGAUUAGCUCGUUGGUGGGGUAACGGCUCACCAAGGCGACGAUCGGUAGGUGGUCUGAGAGGACGAUCACCCAGACUGGGACUGAGACACGGCCCAGACUCCUACGGGAGGCAGCAGUCGGGAAUUUUGCUCAAUGGGCGCAAGCCUGAAGCAGCAACGCCGCGUGAGGGAUGAAGGCCUUCGGGUUGUAAACCUCUUUUUCCAGGGACGAUGAUGACGGUACCUGAAGAAUAAGUCACGGCUAACUACGUGCCAGCAGCCGCGGUAAUACGUAGGUGACCAGCGUUGUCCGGAUUUACUGGGCGUAAAGAGCGCGCAGGCGGUCGUUCAAGUCGAGUGUGAAAGCCCCCGGCUCAACUGGGGAGGGUCAUUCGAUACUGAUCGACUCGAAGGCAGGAGAGGGAAGCGGAAUUCCCGGUGUAGUGGUGAAAUGCGUAGAUAUCGGGAGGAACACCAGUGGCGAAGGCGGCUUCCUGGCCUGUUCUUGACGCUGAGGCGCGAAAGCUAGGGGAGCAAACGGGAUUAGAUACCCCGGUAGUCCUAGCCGUAAACGAUGGACACUAGGUGUUGGUGGUAUCAACCCCACCAGUGCCGAAGCUAACGCAUUAAGUGUCCCGCCUGGGGAGUACGGCCGCAAGGCUAA